AUACGUAGGGUGCAAGCGUUAAUCGGAAUUACUGGGCGUAAAGCGUGCGCAGGCGGUUUUGCAAGACAGUGGUGAAAUCCCCGGGGCCAACCUGGGAACUGCCAUUGUGAAUGCAAGGCAGGAGGGCGGCAGAGGGGGAUGGAAUUCCGGGUGUAGCGGGGAAAUGCGUGGAUAUGGGGAGGAAAACCGAUGGCGAAGGCAAUCCCCUGGGCCUGCACUGACGCUCAUGCACGAAAGCGUGGGGAGCAAACAGGAUUAGAUACCCUGGUAGUCCACGCCCUAAACGAUGUCAACUGGUUGUUGGGGAUUUAUUUUCUCAGUAACGAAGCUAACGCGUGAAGUUGACCGCCUGGGGAGUACGGCCGCAAGGUUAAAACUCAAAGGAAUUGACGGGG
rnacentral:rRNA from 1 species